UGCUAAUUUAUUUAAUUGCUCAAUCCCAUUUUGAUUGGUGUUCGUUCACUUUUGUUUUAUUGCUUCUUUGUACUUGUGUCUUAAAUGCUUAAAUAUAUGUAUUUUUAUUUGGUUGUCAGGAGAUUUCCAAGCUUUGCUGGCAUCACUCAGAACUUCACUCAGAUCUUGUAAACCAGCAUUGAAUUUGAUAUCAUGGAAUGUGCCUGCUCAUUAAAGCAAAAAGUAAUUUUUGACUUGGCAUACAGAGCAUGUGAAAAUCAAAGGGAUCAGUGGCACUUACAAACACGCUCCAGGGGACAAGCUGAGUCAGUUUCAACCAUCAGAAUGAAGCCAUUACCUAAGCUCUUCCCAAAUGCCACGCAAGUCCCUGGAGAAGCAGAAGGAUAGAGCACUUUCUAUUGCUAUAUCUGGCUAUCGGCCUUAGCACGCCUAGCAUGGUCUUCAUAAAUCAUGGUCGGGUAUUACAUACGAUACUGGAUGGGAUUUAUCUUUUCCAGUGUCAAAUAAAUUAAGAAUUGAUCUUUAUAGGAUUGGCUAAUGAAAUCAUGCUUUAAGUUUAUAUGAGUUGGUGUUCUGAAAACAAUCAAGAAGGAAAAAGAAAACGGUUUUUCUGAAGGAAUGGUGGCAAUGUGAAUGUGCAAAAAGUUCUCU